UCCGGUGGGUCUUUCCAGAUAAGAGCGACUGGUUGUUAGCUGCUGUCACCGGUGGGAUUUCGCAAUGAGCAGACGCCCUGCAAGGCUCCAUAUGCAGGAACAUUCUGAUAAGAUGAGUGAAACUUAAGCCCUCAAGCCUCCGAAAACAAGCGCCUGUGGCCUGCACAGAAAAAGUUCUGCAGAAAUUACUUUUCCUCCCCGCUGGCUUUAUGAGGUUUAACAAACUCAUCUGUGCUUGAAACAGGAGGCUGAAUGUGAUGUCCUCGCCACAUUCGAACGAGAGGUUCAGCAUUCGUUUGAACCGCUUGACAGGAAAAAGAUGAAGGCAUUGGGGUUUGGGACGACACAAGCUGUGUAUGGAGAUGGUGCCGCCUCCGCAGUGCAUUGACAUGCAAACCAGAUCCCACUAGAGACAUGGAGAGAAGUAUCAAACCGAGGACUGACUGAUGAAUGACUAAGGUUUGCUUAAAGGUUACCAUCUCUUCUUUUCGCUCUUUUUAUCACUCUUUCUCUCUCCUGUCAUUCUCAUUCCCUCCUCCUGAUUAAUUUGUCUUGAUUAUAUGCCAUGAAAUGAUUUGACGCAGGACACACACAAAUAACUCUGCUCUACUGAUGUAACAUUAAGCAUGUCCGCUCACAUCAGUUCAGCUCUCAUUGACAGUUCUUUCCUAGUAUUUAGUAGCUAUUUUUGAAAUGCACUAGAACUAGUUUUAGCAUUGAUAGAGUCAUGCUCUCAAGUAAUGCAUGUAUUUACAAAAUGAUGAGUUAAUCUUGUCCAUUACA